UACAGAGGGUGCGAGCGUUAAUCGGAAUUACUGGGCGUAAAGCGUGCGUAGACGGUUAUUUAAGUCGGGUGUGAAAGCCCCGGGCUCAACCUGGGAAUUGCAUUCGAGACUGAAUAGCUAGGGUACGGUAGAGGGAAGUGGAAUUCCGGUGUAGCGGUGAAAUGCGUAGAUAUCGGAAGGAACAUCAGUGGCGAAAGCGACUCCUGGACCAGUACCGACGUUCAGGCACGAAAGCGUGGGGAGCAAACAGG
rnacentral:rRNA from 1 species